rnacentral:rRNA from 1 species
AGUGAACGCUGGCGGUAGGCCUAACACAUGCAAGUCGACCGGCAGCACAGUAAGAGCUUGCUCUUACGGGUGGCGAGUGGCGGACGGGUGAGGAAUACAUCGGAAUCUACUUUUUCGUGGGGGAUAACGUAGGGAAACUUACGCUAAUACCGCAUACGACCUACGGGUGAAAGCAGGGGAUCUUCGGACCUUGCGCGAUUGAAUGAGCCGAUGUCGGAUUAGCUAGUUGGCGUGGUAAAGGCCCACCAAGGCGACGAUCCGUAGCUGGUCUGAGAGGAUGAUCAGCCACACUGGAACAGAGACACGGUCCAGACUCCUACGGGAGGCAGCAGUGGGGAAGAUUGGACAAUGGGCGAAAGCCUGAUCCAGCCGUACCGCGUGGGUGAAGAAGGCCUUCGGGUUGUAAAGCCCUUUUGUUGGGAAAGAAAAGCAGCAGGUUAAUACCCCGCUGUUCUGACGGUACCCAAAGAAUAAGCACCGGCUAACUUCGUG